rnacentral:rRNA from 1 species
CGGUUGAUCCUGCCGGAGGUCACUGCUAUCGGGGUUCGAUUAAGCCAUGCGAGUUGAGAGGGUUAAGACCCUCAGCGGACUGCUCAGUAACACGUGGAUAACCUGCCCUAAGGUGGAGAGUAACCCCGGGAAACUGGGGAUAAUACUCCAUAGACUAGAGCUACUGGAAUGUUCUUUAGUCGAAAGUUGAGGCGCCUUAGGAUGGAUCUGCGGUCGAUUAGGUUGUUGUUGGGGUAACGGCCCAACAAGCCUGUAAUCGAUACGGGUUGUGGGAGCAAGAGCCCGGAGAUGGAAUCUGAGACACGAUUCCAGGCCCUACGGGGCGCAGCAGGCGCGAAAACUUUACAAUGCAGGAAACUGUGAUAAGGGAACCCCGAGUGCCCGUAUACGCGGGCUGUCCAGGUGUUUAAAAAGCAUCUGAAGAAAGGGCCGGGCAAGACCGGUGCCAGCCGCCGCGGUAAUACCGGCGGCUCGAGUGGUGGCCACUAUUAUUGGGCUUAAAGCGUCCGUAGCUGGACCCUUAAGUCUCUUGGGAAAUCCGCCGGCUUAACCGGCGGGCAUCCAGGAGAUACUGAGUGUCUAGGGACCGGGAGAGGUGAGAGGUACUCCGGGGGUAGGAGUGAAAUCCUGUAAUCCCCGGGGGACCACCGAUGGCGAANGCAUCUCACCAGAACGGCUCCGACAGUGANGNACGAAAGCUGGGGGAGCGAACCGGAUUAGAUACCCGGGUAGUCCCAGCCGUAAACUAUGCGCGUUAGGUGUACUGGNGACCAUGANUCACUGGGGUGCCGAAGGGAAACCGUGAAANNGUGCCGCCUGGGAAGUACGGUCGCAAGGCUGAANNUUAAAGGAAUUGGCGGGGGAGCACAAGGGCGAAUUCCAGCACACUGGC